AGUGAACGCUGGCGGUAGGCCUAACACAUGCAAGUCGAACGGCAGCACAGUAAGAGCUUGCUCUUACGGGUGGCGAGUGGCGGACGGGUGAGGAAUACAUCGGAAUCUACUUUUUCGUGGGGGAUAACGUAGGGAAACUUACGCUAAUACCGCAUACGACCUACGGGUGAAAGCAGGGGAUCUUCGGACCUUUCGCGAUUGAAUGAGCCGAUGUCGGAGUAGCUAGUUGGCGGGGUAAAGGCCCACCAAGGCGACGAUCCGUAGCUGGUCUGAGAGGAUGAUCAGCCACACUGGAACUGAGACACGGUCCAGACUCCUACGGGAGGCAGCAGUGGGGAAUAUUGGACAAAGGGCGCAAGCCUGAUCCAGCCAUACCGCGUGGGUGAAGAAGGCCUUCGGGUUGUAAAGCCCUUUUGUUGGGAAAGAAAAGCAGCAGGUUAAUACCCCGCUGUUCUGACGGUACCCAAAGAAUAAGCACCGGCUAACUUCGUG
rnacentral:rRNA from 1 species